UCUAUAAAAAGAGAAAGCGAGGCAGCAGAGGUGGUGUCUCCAACAGGAGAAGGUGACCGGCAGAGGAGGUGGCAUCCUCUACCGUGGCGUCUUCCACGGGAGAAGGUGCGUGGCAGCGGAGGUGGCGUCUCCAACGGGAGGUGACCGGCAGCGGAGGUGGCAUCUUCUACGGUGGCGUCUUCCACGGGAGAAGGUGCGUGGCAGUGGAGGUGGUGUCUUCCACGGGAGAAGGCGAGCGGCAACGGAGGUAGCUUUUUCCACGGGAGAAGGUGAGCGACAGCGGAGAUGGCGUCUUCCGCGGUGGCGUCUUCCAUGGGAGAAGGCGUGCGGCAGCGGAGGUGGCUUUUUCCACGGGAGAAGAUCUGCAGCGGAAGUGGCGUCUUCCACGUGAGAAGUUAUGCCAUCUGGCUCAUUUAACCAGAAGAAAACUUGGCAGCCACAUUCAACCAGAAUGCUGUCAGUUAUCAAAACAUCUUAUUUUCUCUUUGCCAAGAACAAAGUGACAACGGACUUCAAAGCGUCAGCAGGCAACUCUGUUCCACCUGGUCAUCCAGAGGUUUGCCUCCUUCCAUCUUGGGCUCCUGCCAGGCUCUCUUGCUUGGCAGAAUCUUCUUCCUCAAGCUGCCAAAGAAGUAGAAGAGUGAAGAAGGCGACGCAUGCUUCUUAAAAUGCCCAGACCAGAGGUGACACCCUUCACUUCCACUUACAUGCAACCCGUAAGAACAAGUUACUUGGGCACGCCUGGGUAUAUGACAUAUUACUGGCCUAUGUAGUCCCUAGCAGGGUAGUAAUUUCCUGCAACAACUUUACACUUGGGGAAGGAGAGGAACAAGCUUGAGGUCUCUGUCAUUCAUAUUGUGUAAGGUGUGUAGCUUCUGCCUCCAGAGAACCUUUGUCAGAGUCGAGAAAAAAGUUCACAGGAGAGAAAUAUUAUGGGGGAGGUGGCAUUUAAGAUGAUCCUCAAUGGGCAGAACUGCCAGGCAGCUUGGUAAAAAGGGCUUUCCAGAUGACCUGAGGGCACUAACUGAGCAGGGGGUUAGGGAGGGAAGCGAGUAACUCGAAACUUCGUUUUCCUGGAACAAAGCUUUGCAUAAGGGAGAGAUCAAGCUUCCAACCGUUGGCUAGGUCAAUGUUAUAUAAGGCCUUGAAUGUCAGAAGAAAGAGUUUGAAUUCCAUGCCUCCAUUAUCAUGAUUGUCAUGCAUUCUUAACACAAGGCCCCGGAACAAUGAUAGCAUUAAUCACUGACGAGUAACAGAGAAGACAUUCAGUAUGAAGGGAUUUCAUUUUUCUGAUGGCAACAAUAAUGACAGCAUCAUAUUGCAUUCAUAGGCUGUAAUAGAUUCCAAACUUUUGCAUUCAUUUCCCGUAUGUCUUGAUAUUUAUGAACACAGUCCAAACAUUUCCACUUCACUCUUGCUCCUUCUUGAGGGUUUAUCUCACAUAGUUAUCUAGAGAUGUCAGGGGUAGCUGUGCACGCUGCCACCACAAGCCAGCAGGGCCUCCUCUCGGGAGGGCCAAAGGACCCUCCCAGGGCUCUGAACUCUGAACACUGACACCAAACACUGCACAUCCUGCAAAUGUGAUUCCCCUCCUUCUUCGACAGACCAUGUAGCCACAAUAUGAGGGUCAACAAUGGCAUGUGACUCCUACCAGAAAUUUAACAGGCAUAAAUAUUUGUUGAAAAAGAUUCAGGUGCAAAGGGACAGCAUACACAGCAGUGCUGGGAGGCUUAGGAAGGUAGUAACUGGACUGGAAAUUAAACCUUUCUUAAACACCUUUUUCUGAAGGUGUUUAGAUUUCUCGCUCCAGUGUUCUGUGAAUUGUGACUUUGAUGUAUGUCCCUUCAAAUCAUUGGUGGCUUUAAAAUAUAGCAGGUAAAACGUUUAAGAAAUUCUGGUUGCAGGUGAGGUCUGACUGUUUGCAUUGUGCUGAUAUAUCGAUGUAUUAUUUGCCUUCCCUCUUGGAACAGAGUAGGAAAGAAAGAAACAAACAAAUUACAGAGAGAUGCUGCCGUCAUCUCUUCCACAGAAGUCUUACUUGAGGCUCUUGGACCCACCCUACCUGGUACCUUCUUACUCUUUCUGUUCCAUUUAAUGUAAUGCAGUUUUGCAAAACUGUUUUCAAGACAUUGUUACCUUGGUUUAAAGUAGUCUAGAUAGGCAUGAUACAAACUAGAGUUCGUAUAUAUAGAGCUCUUCAUACAUUAUAUUUAAUCUUAUUUGCUUCAUAAAAUAAAAAUUGUAAGUAAUGAUUUUCACAAUUAAUUUUUUAAAAUAAAUUCAUAUUCAAAACCAUUUCCCACUAUAAAAUUGACAAAAUUUUUAAAAGAUAAUAUUUAAAGUUGGGGAGGAUAUUGUGAGAGGAACAAUCUCAUUUACUGAUACUGUUAAUUUAAAUACGAAUAGACUUUCUGAAAAACAAUUUGUCAGUCAAGGGUUUUACAUGUCUGUGCUAUUUGUCUUGGUUACAUACACACACAAGAAGAUCCAAGGAGACACUCUUCCCUCCAAAAACCCAAAGUGUUAAUGGUGGUUUUUACUUUGGAAUUAUGUAUAUUUUUAAAAUUUUUUUCUCAGUGAGGAAGUAUUGCUUUUAUGAUCAUGGUACAGAUACUUUCUACUAAUUAAGAAUAUUUGUUAAAAUGUUUAAUAAAAUAAGAAAAUAUAAGAUUCAGUGAGAGACAUACCUACUAUCUUUUAUAAAGAAUAUAAUAAUAUCAACUAAUUAUAUAUGUACAUGUGUAUAUACAUAUAUAGCCAUUCUCUUAAUAAAUGCAUCUGUUUUCUAAGGCCUAGAAUGAGUUUACAAAUGAACCAAGUCUAAACCCGUGUCUACUAAUAAGUGUUAGGCUUAUCAGAAUAUGAAUUAUGGAUUUUUAAAAUUUAUUUAAUUUUAUUGUUUAUGCUAUUAUAGUUGUUCCUGUUUUUACUCCCUUUCCCUACCCCCUCCCAG